rnacentral:rRNA from 1 species
GACGAACGCUGGCGGCGUGCUUAACACAUGCAAAUCGAGCGGUAAGGCCCUUUCGGGGGUACACGAGCGGCGAACGGGUGAGUAACACGUGGGUGACCUGCCCUCAGCUCUGGGAUAAGCCUGGGAAACCGGGUCUAAUACCGGAUAUGACUCCAUGACGCAUGUUGUGGGGUGGAAAGCCUUGUGCGGCUGAGGAUGGGCCCGCGGCCUAUCAGCUUGUUGGUGGGGUGAUGGCCUACCAAGGCGACGACGGGUAGCCGGCCUGAGAGGGCGACCGGCCACACUGGGACUGAGACACGGCCCAGACUCCUACGGGAGGCAGCAGUGGGGAAUCUUGCGCAAUGGGCGAAAGCCUGACGCAGCGACGCCGCGUGAGGGAUGACGGCCU